GACAUGGGGGCACCUGUAUCCAUCAUGCCGCGUGUGUGAAGAAGGCUUCGGGUUGUAAAGCACUUUUGUCAGGAACGAAACAGGGGGGGCUAAUAUCCUCUGCUAAUGACGGUACCUGAAGAAUAAGCACCGGCUAACUACGUGCCAGCAGCCGCGGUAAUACGUGGGGUGCGAGCGUUAAUCGGAAUUACUGGGCGUAAAGCGUGCGCAGGCGGUUGUGCAAGACAGAUGUGAAAUCCCCGGGCUCAACCUGGGAAUAGCAUAUGUGACUGCACGGCUAGAGUAGUGUCAAAGGGGGGUAGAAUUCCACAGUGUAACAAGUGAAAAUGCGUAAGAUAUGUAGGAGGAAUACCGAUGGCG
rnacentral:rRNA from 1 species